GCUGUCUGUUGAAGGGAUAGCAACAUCAGCUAGCUGGUAACCAUCCCCACAGCUGUCUGUCUGUUGAAGGGAUAGCAACAUCAGCUAGCUGGUAACCAUCCCCACAGCUGUCUGUUGAAGGGAUAGCAACAUCAGCUAGCUGGUAACCAUCCCCACAGCUGUCUGUUGAAGGGAUAGCAACAUCAGCUAGCUGGUAACCAUCCCCUCAGCUGUCUGUUGAAGGGAUAGCAACAUCAGCUAGCUGGUAACCAUCCCCACAGCUGUCUGUUGAAGGGAUAGCAACAUCAGCUAGCUGGUAACCAUCCCCACAGCUGUCUGUCUGUUGAAGGGAUAGCAACAUCAGCUAGCUGGUAACCAUCCCCACAGCUGUCUGUUGAAGGGAUGGCAACAUCAGCUAGCUGGUAACCAUCCCCUCAGCUGUCUGUUGAAGGGAUAGCAACAUCAGCUAGCUGGUAACCAUCCCCACAGCUGUCUGUCUGUUGAAGGGAUAGCAACAUCAGCUAGCUGGUAACCAUCCCCACAGCUGUCUGUUGAAGGGAUAGCAACAUCAGCUAGCUGGUAACCAUCCCCACAGCUGUCUGUCUGUUGAAGGGAUAGCAACAUCAGCUAGCUGGUAACCAUCCCCACAGCUGUCUGUUGAAGGGAUAGCAACAUCAGCUAGCUGGUAACCAUCCCCACAGCUGUCUGUUGAAGGGAUAGCAACAUCAGCUAGCUGGUAACCAUCCCCACAGCUGUCUGUUGAAGGGAUAGCAACAUCAGCUAGCUGGUAACCAUCCCCACAGCUGUCUGUUGAAGGGAUAGCAACAUCAGCUAGCAGGUAACCAUCCCCUCAGCUGUCUGUUGAAGGGAUAGCAACAUCAGCUAGCUGGCAACCAUCCCCUCAGCUGUCUGUUUAAGGGAUAGCAACAUCAGCUAGCUGGUAACCAUCCCCACAGCUGUCUGUUGAAGGGAUAGCAACAUCAGCUAGCUGGUAACCAUCCCCACAGCUGUCUGUUGAAGGGAUAGCAACAUCAGCUAGCUGGUAACCAUCCCCACAGCUGUCUGUUGAAGGGAUAGCAACAUCAGCUAGCUGGUAACCAUCCCCACAGCUGUCUGUUGAAGGGAUAGCAACAUCAGCUAGCAGGUAACCAUCCCCACAGCUGUCUGUUGAAGGGAUAGCAACAUCAGCUAGCUGGUAACCAUCCCCACAGCUGUCUGUCUGUUGAAGGGAUAGCAACAUCAGCUAGCUGGUAACCAUCCCCACAGCUGUCUGUUGAAGGGAUAGCAACAUCAGCUAGCUGGUAACCAUCCCCACAGCUGUCUGUUGAAGGGAUAGCAACAUCAGCUAGCUGGUAACCAUCCCCACAGCUGUCUGUUGAAGGGAUAGCAACAUCAGCUAGCUGGUAACCAUCCCCACAGCUGUCUGUUGAAGGGAUAGCAACAUCAGCUAGCUGGUAACCAUCCCCACAGCUGUCUGUUGAAGGGAUAGCAACAUCAGCUAGCUGGUAACCAUCCCCACAGCUGUCUGUUGAAGGGAUAGCAACAUCAGCUAGCUGGUAACCAUCCCCCCAGCUGUCUGUUGAAGGGAUAGCAACAUCAGCUAGCUGGUAACCAUCCCCACAGCUGUCUGUUGAAGGGAUAGCAACAUCAGCUAGCUGGUAACCAUCCCCACAGCUGUCUGUUGAAGGGAUAGCAACAUCAGCUAGCUGGUAACCAUCCCCACAGCUGUCUGUUGAAGGGAUAGCAACAUCAGCUAGCUGGUAACCAUCCCCACAGCUGUCUGUUGAAGGGAUAGCAACAUCAGCUAGCUGGCAACCAUCCCCUCAGCUGUCUGUUUAAGGGAUAGCAACAUCAGCUAGCUGGUAACCAUCCCCACAGCUGUCUGUUGAAGGGAUAGCAACAUCAGCUAGCUGGUAACCAUCCCCACAGCUGUCUGUUGAAGGGAUAGCAACAUCAGCUAGCUGGUAACCAUCCCCACAGCUGUCUGUUGAAGGGAUAGCAACAUCAGCUAGCUGGUAACCAUCCCCACAGCUGUCUGUUGAAGGGAUAGCAACAUCAGCUAGCUGGUAACCAUCCCCACAGCUGUCUGUCUGUUGAAGGGAUAGCAACAUCAGCUAGCUGGUAACCAUCCCCACAGCUGUCUGUUGAAGGGAUAGCAACAUCAGCUAGCUGGUAACCAUCCCCUCAGCUGUCUGUUGAAGGGAUAGCAACAUCAGCUAGCUGGUAACCAUCCCCACAGCUGUCUGUCUGUUGAAGGGAUAGCAACAUCAGCUAGCUGGUAACCAUCCCCUCAGCUGUCUGUUGAAGGGAUAGCAACAUCAGCUAGCUGGUAACCAUCCCCUCAGCUGUCUGUUGAAGGGAUAGCAACAUCAGCUAGCUGGUAACCAUCCCCUCAGCUGUCUGUUGAAGGGAUGGCAACAUCAGCUAGCUGGUAACCAUCCCCACAGCUGUCUGUUGAAGGGAUAGCAACAUCAGCUAGCUGGUAACCAUCCCCACAGCUGUCUGUUGAAGGGAUGGCAACAUCAGCUAGCUGGUAACCAUCCCCACAGCUGUCUGUUGAAGGGAUAGCAACAUCAGCUAGCUGGUAACCAUCCCCACAGCUGUCUGUUGAAGGGAUAGCAACAUCAGCUAGCUGGUAACCAUCCCCACAGCUGUCUGUUGAAGGGAUAGCAACAUCAGCUAGCUGGUAACCAUCCCCACAGCUGUCUGUUGAAGGGAUAGCAACAUCAGCUAGCUGGUAACCAUCCCCUCAGCUGUCUGUUGAAGGGAUGGCAACAUCAGCUAGCUGGUAACCAUCCCCACAGCUGUCUGUCUGUUGAAGGGAUAGCAACAUCAGCU